GACGAACGCUGGCGGCGUGCUUAACACGUGCAAGUCGAACGGACAGGCCCUGCUUUUGUGGGGUGCUCGAGUGGCGAACGGGUGAGUAACACGUGAGUAACCUGCCCUUGACUUUGGGAUAACUUCAGGAAACUGGGGCUAAUACCGGAUAUGAGCUCCUGCUGCAUGGUGGGGGUUGGAAAGUUUCGGCGGUUGGGGAUGGACUCGCGGCUUAUCAGCUUGUUGGUGGGGUAGUGGCUUACCAAGGCUUUGACGGGUAGCCGGCCUGAGAGGGUGACCGGCCACAUGGGGACUGAGAUACGGCCCAGACUCCUACGGGAGGCAGCAGUGGGGAAUAUUGCACAAUGGGCGGAAGCCUGAUGCAGCAACGCCGCGUGCGGGAUGACGGCCUUCGGGUUGUAAACCGAUGUCGCCUGUGACGAAGCGUGAGUGACGGUAAUGGGUAAAGAAGCACCGGCUAACUACGUG
rnacentral:rRNA from 1 species